GUGAUUCAAAAAAUAAAAUAAAAAAAAAAAUCACAAAAUUGCAAAAUCCUGCAGUGGCUACAACGGCGUAUGAGAACCACUGUAGAUACAAAAAACUGGAGAAAAUAUCUGGCAAAAAAUUUUCAUUUUGAUAUUAACCUCAGAAAUUCCCCAGAAAAUAUGUGGAAUUUCUAAGUUUGAAAAGAAAAAAAUUCAGAAAUUUUUAGAUUAAUUUCAGAAAUUUUUGUGUGAAAACUUGGACAGUUCUGGUUUUGAAAAGUUGAACAUUUGCUGGAGAAAAACUCAGAACUUUUGAGGUAGAUCUCAGAAAUUUUCUAGAAAAAAAGUUUGAAAUUUUCUGAGUUUCAAAAGUGGAAUUUUUUUUUACUUUUGA